rnacentral:tRNA from 1 species
GCCCCCGUAGCUCAACGGACCAGAGCGCCGGUCUCCUACACCGGGUGUCCGGGUUCGAGUCCCGGCGGGGGCACCA